rnacentral:tRNA from 1 species
GGUGGCUCACUGGUAGAGCACUUGCCUUGCAUGCAUGAGGUCCUGGGUUCAAUUCCUCAGCACCG